rnacentral:lncRNA from 1 species
GUUGUGUGCAGUAACUAACAGAAGCAGUCCUCAGACUGUCUUUGAACUUCAUUACAAACCUGUGUCAGUUCACAUCAAAGUUGAGUCAUCAAGACUGGACACAUUGUUUGCCAGGCCUCCUUCAAGUUCUCUUAAGAUCUUAGUCCCCCAGCCAAGGAGCAUGCAGGACCGACCAUCCAGGUCUAUUUUUAAUUGUGUUUUAUUGCAGAUUGUUUUUAAUCUCACUGUAGUUUGAUUUAAAAAAAAAAUCACUUAAAUUUGCCCUUGGGAGAUAAUUGGGAAAUACCUAGGAGAGGCAAAAGUGAAGCAGCCUUAGAGCCACUCACUGCCUUUGCUCCACGCAGUCUGUGUCACCUGCAUCCUGCAGGCUUUGUCACCAUUGAUCUCCUUUGGAAGAAAGGGCUGUGCCCUCAUUUCACUUUAUGACCCAGGAAGUAAUGCUAACAUGAAACUGUUUGGUGGCAGGAGAGAGAGAUCACCCUUGCGUAUAUACUGCGAUAUAGUCUACUCUUUAGAGUUAGAUGCUCAGACAUGGGGAAAGUGCCUUCGGGUUGUCCUCUUAGCCACUGUGUUACUCAGAGGAGACUAAACAUUGCAGACGAUGGAAGAUCAUGCGACAUUUUUUUUAAAGGCCAUUUUAUUAUAAAGGUCUUGAUGUCUUCGCCUUUAACGUGACUUAACGUUUGCAGGAACUGGAAGACACAGUUAUUUUGCUCUAAUGUUCUGUACUUGUUAGCACAGUGCUAUGUGAAAUUCUUGUUUAUAAGCAAAGCUCAGAUGUUCCCUCUGAAAGAUUGUUCUUCCCCAGGGGGUGUCUCCUCAGCACAUUUUACUGUCCUAUUUAAGUACUGUAUAUUUGGUGAUAAUGAUGUUUACCAGUCUUUCCCACAAGGGCAGGAACAAAAAAAAA